rnacentral:misc_RNA from 1 species
AACUUUUGACAAUGGAUCACUUGGCUCUCGCAUCGAUGAAGAACGCAGCGAAAUGCGAUAAGUAAUGUGAAUUGCAGAUUUUGAGUGAAUCAUCGAAUCUUUGAACGCACCUUGCGCCCCUUGGUAUUCCGAGGGGCAUGCCUGUUUGAGUGUCAUUGAAAUAUCAACCUUGGGUGGAUUUGCUUCCUCUCCGAUGGUUGGACUUUGGAGAGUGCUGGCGUCAGGUCGGCUCCUCUUAAAUGCAUCAGCGGAAAACUUUGACCUCUGGACGUCAGCGUGAUAAUCACGUUGCGCUGUCGACCGAGGUGUCAUCAUAAGGACCCGCUUCUAAUGGUCUUCGGACAGGACAUCAAAUUUGACCUCAAAUCAGGUAGGACUACCCGCUGAACUUAAGCAUAUCAAUAAGCGGAGGCU